GAUGAAGAACGCAGCGAAAUGCGAUAAGUAAUGUGAAUUGCAGAAUUCAGUGAAUCAUCGAAUCUUUGAACGCACCUUGCGCCCUUUGGCCAUUCCGAAGGGCUUGCCUGUUUGAGUAUCAUGAACACCUCAACUCUUUAUGGUUUUCCAUGAUGAGCUUGGACUCUGGGGGUUUUGCUGGCUCACAGUCGGCUCCUCUAAAAUGAAUCAGCUUACCAGUGUUUGGUGGGUAUCAUGGGUGUGAUAACUAUCUACGCUUGUGGUUUUUCCACCAGGUAACCUUCAGCAGUGGAGGUUCGCUGGAGCUCAUAGAUGUCUCUCCUCAGUGAGGACAGCCCUUUGAAUGUUUGAUCUCAAAUCAGGUAGGACUACCCGCUGAACUUAAGCAUAUCAAUAAGCGGAGGA
rnacentral:misc_RNA from 1 species